rnacentral:sRNA from 1 species
GCCGGGCGUGGUGGCGCACGCCUUUAAUCCCAGCACUCGGGAGGCAGAGGCAGGCGGAUUUCUGAGUUCGAGGCCAGCCUGGUCUACAGAGUGAGUUCCAGGACAGCCAGGACUACACAGAGAAACCCUGUCUCGAAAAACCAAAAAAAAAAAAAAAAAAAAAGAAUUUCUCUGUGUAGUCCUGGUGGCUGUCUUAGAGCUUGCUCUCUUUAGAUCAGGAAGGCCUCAGACUCAGUUCUGCCUGCUU